rnacentral:rRNA from 1 species
GGACGAGAAGCUUGCUUCUCUGAUGUUAGCGGCGGACGGGUGAGUAACACGUGGAUAACCUACCUAUAAGACUGGGAUAACUUCGGGAAACCGGAGCUAAUACCGGAUAAUAUUUUGAACCGCAUGGUUCAAAAGUGAAGGACGGUCUUGCUGUCACUUAUAGAUGGAUCCGCGCUGCAUUAGCUAGUUGGUAAGGUAACGGCUUACCAAGGCAACGAUGCAUAGCCGACCUGAGAGGGUGAUCGGCCACACUGGAACUGAGACACGGUCCAGACUCCUACGGGAGGCAGCAGUAGGGAAUCUUCCGCAAUGGGCGAAAGCCUGACGGAGCAACGCCGCGUGAGUGAUGAAGGUCUUCGGAUCGUAAAACUCUGUUAUUAGGGAAGAACAUAUGUGUAAGUAACUGUGCACAUCUUGACGGUACCUAAUCAGAAAGCCACGGCUAACUACGUGCCAGCAGCCGCGGUAAUACGUAGGUGGCAAGCGUUAUCCGGAAUUAUUGGGCGUAAAGCGCGCGUAGGCGGUUUUUUAAGUCUGAUGUGAAAGCCCACGGCUCAACCGUGGAGGGUCAUUGGAAACUGGAAAACUUGAGUGCAGAAGAGGAAAGUGGAAUUCCAUGUGUAGCGGUGAAAUGCGCAGAGAUAUGGAGGAACACCAGUGGCGAAGGCGACUUUCUGGUCUGUAACUGACGCUGAUGUGCGAAAGCGUGGGGAUCAAACAGGAUUAGAUACCCUGGUAGUCCACGCCGUAAACGAUGAGUGCUAAGUGUUAGGGGGUUUCC